rnacentral:rRNA from 1 species
AUUGAACGCUGGCGGCAGGCUUAACACAUGCAAGUUGAGCGGAGAUGAGGUGCUUGCACCUUAUCUUAGCGGCGGACGGGUGAGUAAUGCUUAGGAAUCUGCCUAUUAGUGGGGGACAACAUUCCGAAAGGAAUGCUAAUACCGCAUACGCCCUACGAGGGAAAGCAGGGGACCUUCGGACCUUGCGCUAAUAGAUGAGCCUAAGUCGGAUUAGCUAGUUGGUGGGGUAAAGGCCUACCAAGGCGACGAUCUGUAGCGGGUCUGGGAGGAUGAUCCGCCACACUGGGACUGAGACACGGCCCAGACUCCUACGGGAGGCAGCAGUGGGGAAUAUUGGACAAUGGGCGGAAGCCUGAUCCAGCCAUGCCGCGUGUGUGAAGAAGGCCUUUUGGUUGUAAAGCACUUUAAGCGAGGAGGAGGCUACUUAGAUUAAUACUCUAGGAUAGUGGACGUUACUCGCAGAAUAAGCACCGGCUAACUCUGUGCCAGCAGCCGCCGUAAAAC